rnacentral:rRNA from 1 species
GACGGAGGAUGCAAGUGUUAUCCGGAAUCACUGGGCGUAAAGCGUCUGUAGGUGGUUUAAUAAGUCAACUGUUAAAUCUUGAGGCUCAACUUCAAAAUCGCAGUCGAAACUAUUAGACUAGAGUAUAGUAGGGGUAAAGGGAAUUUCCAGUGGAGCGGUGAAAUGCGUAGAGAUUGGAAGGAACACCAAUGGCGAAAGCACUUUACUGGGCUAUCACUGACACUGAGAGACGAAAGCUAGGGUAGCAAAUGGG